AGCAGCGUAGCUUAGUGGCAAGAGCACAGACUUGGGAGUCAGAGGUCCUGGGUUCUAAUCCCGGCUCCGCCA
rfam:Ornithorhynchus anatinus chromosome 4, whole genome shotgun sequence.